GAUGAACGCUGGCGGCGUGCUUAACACAUGCCAGUCGAACGAAGUGGCGAACGGGUGAGUAAUACGUGGGUAACCUGCCCUCCUUUUUGGGAUAAGCCUUGGAAACGGGGUCUAAUACCGUAUAAAGGGGGAUGGGCUCGCGGCCUCGCAGCGUGUUGGUGGGGUGAUGGCCUACCAAGGCGGUGACGGGGAGCCGGCCUGAGAGGGUGACCGGCCACGUUGGGACUGAGAUACGGACCAGACACCGACGGGAGGCAGCAGUGGGGGAUAUUGCACAAUGGGCGAAAGCCUGAUGCAGCGACGCCGCGUGGGGGAUGAAGGCUUAUGGGUCGUAAACUUCUUUUAUAUAAGAAUAUGUAUUAUAUGAAUAAGGAUCGGCUAACUCCGUGCCAGCAGCCGCGGUAAUUC
rnacentral:rRNA from 1 species